rnacentral:rRNA from 1 species
GAUGAACGCUGGCGGCGUGCCUAAUACAUGCAAGUCGAGCGAACAGACGAGGAGCUUGCUCCUCUGACGUUAGCGGCGGACGGGUGAGUAACACGUGGAUAACCUACCUAUAAGACUGGGAUAACUUCGGGAAACCGGAGCUAAUACCGGAUAAUAUAUUGAACCGCAUGGUUCAAUAGUGAAAGACGGUUUUGCUGUCACUUAUAGAUGGAUCCUCGCCGCAUUAGCUAUUUGGUAAGGUAACGGCUUACCAAGGCAACGAUGCGUAGCCGACCUGAGGGGGUGAUCGGCCACACUGGAACUGAGACACGGUCAAGACUCCUACGGGAGGAAGAAGUAGGGAAUCUUCCGCAAGGGGCGAAAGCCUGACGGAGCAAGGCCGCGUGAGUGAUGAAGGUCUUCGGAUCGUAAAACUCUGUUAUUAGGGAAGAACAAAUGUGUAAGUAACUAUGCACGUCUUGACGGUACCUAAUCAGAAAGCCACGGCUAACUACGUG